UUUUUCGCUUAGUGCUGAGAGCUGACCCUAAUUUUGACGACUCACCAUGGCAAUCAGUAUCGCCUGAAGCUAAAGAUUUUGUCAAAAGACUUCUUAACAAGGAUUACAGAAAAAGAAUGACUGCUGCACAGGCACUCUGUAAGUACUCUCAAUGUUUCACUAUGUUUCUAUUUUUUCUGCCAAUUUGUUGUUCUUUCAUAUUUUUCUGCCAAUUUGUUGUUCUUUCAUAUUUUUCUGCCAUACUUGCUUUGCUGCAUAAAACUGUAAUAUUAUUGCUUGCUGAAUUCCUAAGACAGAGUGUGCUGUUAACUCGUGAACUUGUUGGUUUGGUUAUAGAUUCGUGAGAAGUACCUAUCAUUGAAGAAAGGUACCCGACCAGACAUAACAACGGCAAUUGAAGAUGAGCUUCACAGUGCUCGAUCUUCAUUUGAGCAAGCCCGUUUCAACCUGGUCACUUCACUUUCCCAUGUCGAGGCAACGAAGAGAUAUGAAUUUUUGGAGGCUGUUAGUGCGACGAUGGACUCACAUCUUCGAUAUUUUAAACAAGGAUAUGAACUAUUGCAUCAAAUGGAACCAUAUAUUAAU